rnacentral:rRNA from 1 species
UACGUAGGGACCAAGCGUUGUUCGGAUUUACUGGGCGUAAAGGGCGCGUAGGCGGUGCGGUAAGUCACUUGUGAAAUCUCUGAGCUUAACUCAGAACGGCCAAGUGAUACUGCAGUACUAGAGUGCAGAAGGGGCAAUCAGAAUUCUUGGUGUAGCGGUGAAAUGCGUAGAUAUCAAGAGGAAUACCUGAGGUGAAGACGGGUUGCUAGGCUGACACUGACGCUGAGGCGCGAAAGCCAGGGGAGCAAAC